rnacentral:lncRNA from 1 species
UGCACACACACAUCCCUCAGGUGAGGGUAGGGUGGUCUCCUGUGUACUCCUAGGGGACCGUGGGUUGAAUUCUGCCAUGGCUCUCCUUACCCCCCAAGUGUGGGGGUCAUCUGCCAGCAAGGAUACAGCCGAAACCUCCCCCUGUCCCCAGAGUGUCCGGUCAGCACUUCAGAACAAGUUUAUUCAGUUAAUAAAGGAAUUUCACCCAGAGUACUUGGUCAGUAAUGGCUAUGAUGGUAGCAGCUCUGUGUGCCUUAGAAAUGCUCCAGGAGAAUCGAGUGAACAGAGGACAUCUGUGCAAUGAGAUUCUCCUCCCCUGGAGUUCGGGAGGAGGGUUGUACCUUUCCUCUCUUCCCUAAUUCCAGAACUCCUAGUAAAAGAGGCUACAAAAUUAUUUGUUUAUUUUAGAUAGAGACUAGCUCUGUCACCCA